UGCGGGGAUGCCGGAGCGGUCAAACGGGCAUGGCUUAGGACCAUGUGCUUAGUGCUACAUAGGUUCAAAUCCUAUUCCCCGCAU
rnacentral:tRNA from 1 species